rnacentral:lncRNA from 8 species
AUGCUGGGUAUUGAGUCCCAGCCCAGAGACUCUAGUUUCCUGGAGACUGAUACAGGGGCUGUGGAGGCUUUGCAGGAGGCCAUGGGCCACAUGGAGAAAGACUUUGUGGAGCUCGAGUCUCUUAAAGACAUCCUGCUUGCCAGCUGCACCACCAAGGGUCAGGCCACUCUGUCUCAAGAGGUCAAAGAUCUCCAGGACCAGAAGGAGGAGUUAGAGAGGGGCGUCAGCUGGCUGGCUCAACUACAGGCAGAGGAGCAGUUAGCCCGACGAGACCAGCGAAUCAGGGAGGAGGUUGACAACCUUCAGAGGGCCCUACAAGGCUCGGCUGAGCAUUUGGGGGACGACCCGGAAACGACCGAAGGAUUCACUGAUAUUAGGCAGCUCCAGCAGCGCUGGCACGUCCUACAGGACUGUGACCAAAGCCUGAGGGAGCUUGCGGCACGGCUUCAUCAUCUGGAGAAAGCAGUAGGGUCAGAGGACACAUAUGGAGAAUUUCAAACCGAUGUGACUUUGGCUGUGGAUUCAGCGGCCAAAGACUUAGACAGCCUGUGUUUCUCUCUACAUGAACGAAUGCAGCUUUUUUCAGGCGGCACAGCCCUUAGAAUGUCUGGGGCGAUCUGUGAACUGCAGCAGUGGAACCAGGCAGCACAGUCAAAUCCCCGAAAGUCUGUACAGGUACUGUAGUACCUCUCUGUCCACCCACAUCCAUCCACCAUCCCAUUUUAUUUGUGUAGAACCUUUUACAAAUACAUUUGUCACAAUUAAAGUAUUUACCGGGGAACCUGGACCUAAAUCCUAAAAGAGUUUUGCAGGGACAUUAAAUAUUUGUAUAUUGUUUAGGUUUUCAACUUCUGCGAACAAGAAUAGUAAAUCAGAAAGUCACUGCUGUUUUUACCGGAACAGCCACAUUGAGAGUAAAAAGCAAUGUCUGUAUGAUAGCUUUUAGGAAUGAAAGUUUAAGAUGUUCUGAAAUCACUGUUUUUUAAAAACCUUUCCCCACAAAUGCAUUUGGCAUGUUGAACACAGCACAGAGUUUACUGAGGUUGUUCAGAAAUCACUAGUUGUUUUUGAGAUGUUUUUCCACUAAUGUAUUUGUCAUGUUGAACCCAGAGGCCCAACUACCAUGUAAUAUUAGCAAUGGGCAUUUAAAGCGCACUUAUACUCCAUAUGCCGGCCAUCACGACAACACAGGUAGGGAUAGGAACCCCUUAGUUAGUUUUCUUCAAUAGAGUUUCCACUUUACUCUAAUAUCAGUGCCAUUAUCUUUUGACGUGCUCUGUCUCAACGGAAAAAUAGAGGGUUUGUCAUCUGGCUCCCCCAUUGGAAAGUACUACGCAUAUUGGUGAUUCUAGAUGAGGCAUUUCUCAGAGGGGUUAUUUUUGAAAUGCCAAAUCACAGCCAUCAGCCUCUGAUUCAGAAGAGUUUAGUUAAAUGAAGAAGACACAUUUCGGUUGAAUGCAUGGUGACAUUGUAAUGCAGCAAAAGGUUUUGAAACCAAUGAGCACACAUUGCGGGGGAAUUCAUUGUUCAGUCAAAACCAGUAAUGAGUCUGCAUUCGUCAUGCAGGAAGCAGCACCAUACCAGUGUCUACAUAUGUGAAAAUGGCAUAUUUCUACGAUUUGUAGAAGACCAGUUCAAAAAAUAAUUUAAAAAGUUUGAUGUCAUCAUGAGUAAAAAACAUUUAAAAAAAAACAGGGAUUUUUAAACACUGUGAGAUUCGCGGUGACUCGGGGAGCAGAAAAAUGCCCCCCUGUGACUACAAACUUUUUGCAUGUUUUGAAAAAAAAUCAGUUCUUUGUUUUAAUUCUACUCGAAGAUGUUAUCGAGUAGUACGUAUGUAGGACCUUUCUUCUUAUCUUUUUAACUACAUCAUGUAGAAAUGGGCCAUUUUCAAAUAUGUAUACACUGGUAGGUGCUGGAGAUAAUGAAUAUGAGGAUGAAAAGUUGUGGAAUUUGGUGAUGGCAGAGAGGAAGAGGAAUAGAGAGGUCCAACUCGGCGGAAAAUCUGUCUCCCCAGCAGGGGCAGUUUUAUUUAGUUUUUCACCUACCAAGCAAGGAAUUUUUUGGGGAGGUCAAUGAGAUGUGUCGAAUUUGGUCAACAAAAAAAUGAAUGGCUUAUUUGCUAUAUGAGAUUUAAUUGAUAUAGAAGUUUUGUAGAUGCUUAAGUUGUUACGAGUGCACUGAUAUAAGUAGGACUCAUGAAAUCCUGGCAACUUUAAGAAAAAAUACUUUAUAUCGGUGUUGUCGCAAGAUGGUUGUGACACUCGUCGUAAGGAGUAGACCAAGGUGCAGCGUGUUGAAUGCUCAUGAUAAAUAUUUAUUAUUAACUCAGAACACUAUACAAAAACAAUAAACAAAGAAACACAACCAUCGCGUUCUGCAGGCUUCACUGAUACAAAAACAAGAUCCCACAAACCCAGGUGGAAAAAAAAAAAACUACUUAAGUAUGAUCUCCAAUUAGAGACAACGAGGACCAGCUGCCUCUAAUUGGAGAUCAUCCCAAACAAACCCAACAUAGAAAUAGAAAACUAGAACCUGAAAAUAGAAAUACAAAACAUAGCAAAACACCCCCUGUCAUGCCCUGACCAGUCUACCAUAGAAAAUAACAGCUUACCAUGGUCAGGACGUGACAAUGGCUAUGCAUACUCAUGGUUGAGCCUAGUAACAUAGCAUCUCUCUCUAUUGAAUACAGGCAGUUGACAUCAACAACCCUCAUCAAAUAUUCAACAAAGGAUUAUAAUAAUGAGAUGUAUCCACCAAUCCUAAAAAAGUAUAGACUGGAGCUAGACAGCCUGCCGUGCGCUUUGUGGACAACAACUCCCAUUGUUAGGGUGGACAUCUUGUCAAUAUAUCCAUAAUCUUUGGUGAUGGGCAUGCCGAUUCUUUUCAGUGAGCCAGCUCGUUGGUUCCGUUCAGCUAAAAGAGCUGUUCAUUUGGCACCCAAACGGCACUUAGUUCAGUAGCACUUAAAAAUGUUCCUAAAAUCAUGAAAAAAAUUGCAAAUAUAUAAUGCUAAGCUUACAAAGUCGCCUGACAGUAUGUCAGAUUGUGAUUAGUUCAAAUACAUUUUUACCUGACCAAGUUAGAUGGUCUGCAAAGAAAGAAAAUGAAUUCACUGCAGAAAUGUGUGGACCAGUGAGGAAUUACAAUCAAAGAGCAGUUCAAAAAUAGCUGUUCGUUCGAGAAUGACCCAUCACUAGUGUAAUUUCCCUUAAACCUGUGCGUGUUUGAGUCGACUUCAGACUGACGACUUCAGAUCUAAUUGAUCACUCAUUAAGAUUUGUAGAUCAGUCAUACUGCAGUGUAACUGAUCUGAAACAGGCACAUUGAGACACCAAAUUUAGUUUGACAUGUUUUUGUGGAAGUUUCUGCUUGUAGUGAAGUUUUGAUCAGGGAAAUGUUAACAAAUGGGAACUCAAAUGCGAAAUAAUGCUAGUUACUGUCUGUAGCAAGUGUAAACAACAGUGUAACAUGAGUUCCUGUCAGAUUGGACCUAGUAUCUAGGUUUGUGGCAGUAUUAGACUAUAAAUGAUGUAGUGCAGUGCCUCCACCUAAUAAGUAAUGUACCCCUAAAGAUAUGUAUUUACUUACUAGGAAAACAUGUACAAUGCCCACACAGUGAAACUACACAAAUAUAUACUGCUCAAAACAAUAAAGGGAACACUUAAACAACACAUCCUAGAUCUAAAUGAAAGAAAUCAUCUUAUUAAAUACUUUUUUCUUUACAUAGUUGAAUGUGCUGACAACAAAAUCACACAAAAAUAAUCAAUGGAAAUCCAAUUUAUCAACCCAUGGAGGUCUGGAUUUGGAGUCACACAAAAAAUUAAAGUGGAAAACCACACUACAGGCUGAUCGAACUUUGAUGUAAUGUCCUUAAAACAAGUCAAAAUGAGGCUCAGCAGUGUGUGUGGCCUCCACGUGCCUGUAUGACCUCCCUACAACGCCUGGGCAUGCUCCUGAUGAGGUGGCGGAUGGUCUCCUGAGGGAUCUCCUCCCAGACCUGGACUAAAGCAUCCGUCAACUCCUGGACAGUCUGUGGUGCAACGUGGCGUUGGUGGGUGGAGCGAGACAUGAUGUCCCAGAUGUGCUCAAUUGGAUUCAGGUCUGGGGAACGGUCGGGCCAGUCCAUAGCAUCAAUGCCUUCCUCUUGCAGGAACUGCUGACACACUCCAGCCACAUGAGGUCUAGCAUUGUCUUGCAUUAGGAGGAACCCAGGGCCAACCGCACCAGCAUAUGGUCUCACAAGGGGUCUGAGGAUCUCAUCUCGGUACCUAAUGGCAGUCAGGCUACCUCUGGCGAGCACAUGGAGGGCUGUGCGGCCCCCCAAAGAAAUGCCACCCCACACCAUGACUGACCCACCGCCAAACCGGUCAUGCUGAAGGAUGUUGCAGGCAGCAGAACGUUCUCCACGGCGUCUCCAGACUCUGUCACGUCUGUCAAGUGCUCAGUGUCAACCUGCUUUCAUCUGUGAAGAGCACAGGGCGCCAGUGGCGAUUUUGCCAAUCUUGGUGUUCUCUGGCAAAUGCCAAACGUCCUGCACGGUGAUGGGCUGUAAGCACAACCCCCACCUGUGGACGUCGGGCCCUCAUACCACCCUCAUGGAGUCUGUUUCUGACCGUUUGAGCAGACACAUGCACAUUUGUGGCCUGCUGGAGGUCAUUUUGCAGGGCUCUGGCAGUGCUUCUCCUGCUCCUUCUUGCACAAAGGUGGAGGUAGCGGUCCUGCUGCUGGGUUGUUGCCCUCCUACGGCCUCCUUCACGUCUCCUGUGUAUGGCUGUCUCUGCGCCAUGCUCUGGACACUAUGCUGACAGACACAGCAAACCUUCUUGCCACAGCUUGCAUUGAUGUGCCAUCCUGGAUGAGCUGCACUACCUGAGCCACUUGUGUGGGUUGUAGACUCCGUCUCAUGCUACCACUAGAGUGAAAGCACCACCAGCAUUCAAAAGUGACCUAAACAUCAGCCAGGAACCAUAGGAACUGAGAAGUGGUCUGUGGUCCCCACCUGCAGAACCACUCCUUUAUUGGGGGUGUCUUGCUAAUUGCUUAUAAUUUCCACCUGUUGUCUAUUCCAUUUGCACAACAGCAUGUGAAAUGUAUUCU